AGUGAACGCUGGCGGCAGGCCUAACACAUGCAAGUCGAGCGGUAAGGCCCUUUCGGGGGUACGACGAGCGGCGAACGGGUGAGUAACACGUGGGUGACCUCGCCCUCCAGCUCUGGGAGUAAGCCUGGGAAACCGGGUCUAAUACUGGAUAUGACUCCAUGACGCAUGUUGUGGGGUGGAAAGCCUUGUGCGGCUGAGGAUGGGCCCGCCGGCCUAUCAGCUUGUUGGUGGGGGG
rnacentral:rRNA from 1 species